GCGCCCGUAGCUCAAUGGAUAGAGCGUCUGACUACGGAUCAGAAGGUUAGGGGUUCGAGUCCUCUCGGGCGCGCCA
rnacentral:tRNA from 1 species